rnacentral:lncRNA from 1 species
GAACAAGUGUGUUUGAAUUGUAGUAUCAAUGUCACCAGCUCCUGCUCAAAUGGCAAAAACUCCUGGCCUGGAGGCAGAACUGUUGAAGAAGCUCCAAGGGGUCUCAGGCUCACCCUGGCUGGUCUGCUUUCUGUCUGAGCCUUCUUCUGGUAACCAGAGGCUGUCGCCAUCUUCUCUGUGUCUUAUUAUGACCUUCCUUGGAUGUUAGCAAGUAUCUGCAGGACCAGCCUCUGAGUCUUCCUUGUCAGAAGCAAUGCCAUCAUCUCCCCAUACCAUUCUGGCAAGUUGAAUGGGGAGUGAGGAGUAACCAGGGAAAAGAAGCAGAUGAGGACACCAUUUACAAGGAUGCCUUGCCCUGGGAAUCCUCCCCACAGGAGUAAGAAGGGAGCUACACUUUACAUAGCAUGUCUGAAGAGUAGUUCCCAAAUACUUGUUCUUGGACAUGGCAGAGCUGGAUGCCCAAGAAUCUCCUGGGAAACAUUAAUUACAAAAACCAAGCAAAACAGAACCCCUGGCUCCACGUUGAUUUGGAGGGGAAGGAAGAAAAGCGAGAAGUAACAUAAUUCCAGGAAAUUACUUGAUAAGCACAGAAAGUCAGGAUAAAAGGAGGUAAGUUAUCCUAAGAAAUACUGGUGCUUUGCUGUAACAACCAUCUUUUUGCUAAAAGAUGCCAGCCAAAUGACCAGAAACAUCUAUAUUGGGGUAUGUUUUUGUCCCUGGUUAGUACAGGGACAUACCAAGGCAAAUGCUCACUUUAGAGCUUUUCUUUCUUAGAUUAUAAGCCCUUUCUACCCCAAUCUUAGACAAAGUUAAUCUGCUUCUGAGAGAAGAGUAGAAACAAAAAACAUCUGUCCCUGGAGAAGGGCAGGAAACCUGGUCAGGCCCAGUAUCCUGUAGUGACACAAACGACAUAUCUGCUCUCACUGGAAGUGAGGCAGGAAACCCUCUCUUGCCCAAGAAUCCAUACAGGUACAAGGCAGAAAAUGGCUUCCAUGGAUGUGGGAGGGGCAGCAAUGCCAAGCAAGUUUCACCCUCAAGGCCCAGGCACACAGAACCUAAGACUGAGGCUGAACUAUGAUAAUAAAAAAGCCUUCCUUGCCCCAACCAAGAGCCUUGCACUGAGUAACAAGCCACUGCAGCCUUAUCACUGAGGCAGAGGCAAGAGCAUGGAGAGAUGCCCCCAUCCCCACCUGUAGCACAAGAAUACAAAGUCCAAAGAGAGAUGAGAGUGGAACAGGAACACUGAGAACACUCCUCCAGUGCUCCAGGCCCCACACUAGGAACAAGAUAAUAGCAGCUGAUUAUUUAAAUUCUUUGGUGCACUAAAGAUCAUUGUAGCAAAAACAAAACCCAAACCCAGCUCAACUACUGAAAAAUUUGACAGAACUUCCCACAUGAAUAGUUGAACUGAGGAAAGACUUCAUUUCCAAGAGUAACUACUAUUUACAUCAGUCUCUACUAUUCCUUUAUCACAGGGUCCAACAUUCAGUAAAAAAUUAUGAAACACGCAUACAUACAAACACCAGAAAAAAGACAACCCAUUGUCCAAAGACAAAGCAAUCAACAGAACCAGAUCCAGAGGUGACCCAAAUAUUGGAAUAAUCAGGCAGUUGACUUUGAAAUAAUUAUGAGUGUGGUAUUAUGGGAUCUAGUGGAAUGGAUAGACAAGAGGCAUAAACACUAGCUGGGCAUAGCGGCAUGCACCUGUAGUCCCCACUACUCGGGAGGCUGAGGCAGGAGGAUCGCUUGAACCUGGGAGGCAGAGGCUGCAGUGAGCAGAGAUGGUGCCAUUGCAUUCCAGCCAGGAUGACAGAAUGAGAACUUGUCUCAAAAAUAAAUAAAUACAUAAAUAAAAAUAAGCAAAUAAAGAAAUAAAAGACAAGAGGCAUAAACAUAUACACAGACUUAUCAGCAAAUUGGAUACAGUAGAAAGAGUCAACAAACCUAUAGAUAGGUGGAUAAAAAUGAUGUAAAGUGAAAUACAAAUGAAAAAAAAGAAUGAGGGAGAUAAACAGAAUAUAGCAACCAAGAGCUGUAGGACAACAUCAAAGAGUCUAAUAUACAUAUAGUUAUAGAAGAAGUAAAGAAGAGAAAUUUGAAGAGAUAAUUAAUAGCUGAGAAUUUCCAAAUUUGAUGGGAAAAAAAAACAAACAACAAAUCACAAAUCCAAACUCAGAGAAAUAACCUGAUUACAGAUUGUAGGAGGUUAUAAACCUUGACAGCAACCGAAAGGAAAAAAAGAAACCUUACAAACAGAGGAACAGAAUGAUAAUGGCAAUAAACUUCUCAUGAGAAACAAUGCAAGAAAAAAGAAAGUAGAACAAUAUCCUUAAAAUAUUGAAAGACAAAAAAUUAUCAACUCAGAAUAUAAUACCUGGUUAAAAAGAUCUCGAAAAUUAAAUCAAAUCUAUUUUAGACAAACAAAGUCUGAGAGAAUUCAUUUAGCAAACCUGAAAUACAAGACAUUAAAGGAAGUUCUUUAGGCAGGGGUAUGAUACUGGAGGGAAAUUUGGAUCUACGCAAAAUAAUGAAGAGUUCCAGAAUGGUAAGUGACGGUGAACAGAUUACAAGUCUACCUCUGAGUUUUUGUUUUGUCAUUACUAUUUUGAAC